GACGAACGCUGGCGGCGUGCUUAACACAUGCAAGUCGAACGGAAAGGCCCUGCUUGCAGGGUCCUCGAGUGGCGAACGGGUGAGUAACACGUGGGUGAUCUGCCCUGCACUUCGGGAUAAGCCUGGGAAACUGUGUCUAAUACCGGAUAUGAGCCAUUUUUAGUGUGAUGGUUGGAAAGUUUUUUCGGUGUAGGAUGAGAUCGCGGCCUAUCAGCUUGGUGGUGGGGUUAGGGCCUACCAAGGCGGCGACGGGUAGGCGGCCGGGGGGGGUGGACGGCCACCAUGGGGAUGGGGUACGGGCCAGACCUCCACCGGGGGCAGGGGGUGGGAAUAUUGGCAAAUGGGGGGGAGGCUGGUGGCGGGAAGGCGGGUGGGGGGAGACGGGCUUUCGGUUGGAAACUCGUUUCGCUCGGGAAGAAGCUUUUUGUGACGGUAACUAGAUAAGAAGCACCGGCUAACUACGUG
rnacentral:rRNA from 1 species